UCUGAGGGCUAAAACCUUUAAAUCAACACAACUUUCAACAUUCUCAGCCACCAAAUCAUCAGAGACAAGCUUGUGAUCAAACAAGAACUUCCGUAGUGCCAUUUUAAGAGCAAUUUCAAUUGCCGUAGAGCCAUUAUCUGAAAAGUAUACUCUCGAAGCCCACCCUUUUCCCACGCCUUCAAGCAAAAGUUCAGCACAUUCCAAGGCCGGCUCGUAAACAUUUUCAGGAAACAUAACAUGCCCAUAUCUAGCAGUAGCAUAG
rnacentral:misc_RNA from 1 species